GUCUUCCUGGUGCGUCUGGUGCAGUGGAUGGAUUUCUUCUUGGCGACGAGUGACUCCCUUCAAGCCAGGGGAUUUUGAGGUUCUUCAGCAAGAUCCACAAAACUGUCUGGCUGCCACCCCAGACUGAAGAUUGUCCCCCUGUUUACCCUGGUGACCAGCAGGAGAGGGGACAAACAAAAAAAGAUGGCGUCAGGGAGGCCCUGAUGACAAAGGACAGGAAAAGAAUUCUCCAUCCCAGUGAUGCCUAUUGAAAUACCAUCUCUUCUUCAAGAUCCAACCCCAAAACUACUUACCUCACCAAGCCUUCCCUGAUUAUUCUCAGCCAGAAGAAACCUCUCCCUCAUCUGAAUUUCCAAAGCACUUUGCACCCCACAGGCUCACCAGGACACCAAGGGUUGAAGAGGAUGUAGAUCUCAUUUCGAGGAUCAAAAGGC